rnacentral:rRNA from 1 species
UUAAGCGACUAAGCGUACACGGUGGAUGCCCUGGCAGUCAGAGGCGAUGAAGGACGUGCUAAUCUGCGAUAAGCGUCGGUAAGGUGAUAUGAACCGUUAUAACCGGCGAUUUCCGAAUGGGGAAACCCAGUGUGUUUCGACACACUAUCAUUAACUGAAUCCAUAGGUUAAUGAGGCGAACCGGGGGAACUGAAACAUCUAAGUACCCCGAGGAAAAGAAAUCAACCGAGAUUCCCCCAGUAGCGGCGAGCGAACGGGGAGCAGCCCAGAGCCUGAAUCAGUGUGUGUGUUAGUGGAAGCGUCUGGAAAGGCGCGCGAUACAGGGUGACAGCCCCGUACACAAAAAUGCACAUGCUGUGAGCUCGAUGAGUAGGGCGGGACACGUGGUAUCCUGUCUGAAUAUGGGGGGACCAUCCUCCAAGGCUAAAUACUCCUGACUGACCGAUAGUGAACCAGUACCGUGAGGGAAAGGCGAAAAGAACCCCGGCGAGGGGAGUGAAAAAGAACCUGAAACCGUGUACGUACAAGCAGUGGGAGCACGCUUAGGCGUGUGACUGCGUACCUUUUGUAUAAUGGGUCAGCGACUUAUAUUCUGUAGCAAGGUUAACCGAAUAGGGGAGCCGAAGGGAAACCGAGUCUUAACUGGGCGUUAAGUUGCAGGGUAUAGACCCGAAACCCGGUGAUCUAGCCAUGGGCAGGUUGAAGGUUGGGUAACACUAACUGGAGGACCGAACCGACUAAUGUUGAAAAAUUAGCGGAUGACUUGUGGCUGGGGGUGAAAGGCCAAUCAAACCGGGAGAUAGCUGGUUCUCCCCGAAAGCUAUUUAGGUAGCGCCUCGUGAAUUCAUCUCCGGGGGUAGAGCACUGUUUCGGCAAGGGGGUCAUCCCGACUUACCAACCCGAUGCAAACUGCGAAUACCGGAGAAUGUUAUCACGGGAGACACACGGCGGGUGCUAACGUCCGUCGUGAAGAGGGAAACAACCCAGACCGCCAGCUAAGGUCCCAAAGUCAUGGUUAAGUGGGAAACGAUGUGGGAAGGCCCAGACAGCCAGGAUGUUGGCUUAGAAGCAGCCAUCAUUUAAAGAAAGCGUAAUAGCUCACUGGUCGAGUCGGCCUGCGCGGAAGAUGUAACGGGGCUAAACCAUGCACCGAAGCUGCGGCAGCGACGCUUAUGCGUUGUUGGGUAGGGGAGCGUUCUGUAAGCCUGCGAAGGUGUGCUGUGAGGCAUGCUGGAGGUAUCAGAAGUGCGAAUGCUGACAUAAGUAACGAUAAAGCGGGUGAAAAGCCCGCUCGCCGGAAGACCAAGGGUUCCUGUCCAACGUUAAUCGGGGCAGGGUGAGUCGACCCCUAAGGCGAGGCCGAAAGGCGUAGUCGAUGGGAAACAGGUUAAUAUUCCUGUACUUGGUGUUACUGCGAAGGGGGGACGGAGAAGGCUAUGUUGGCCGGGCGACGGUUGUCCCGGUUUAAGCGUGUAGGCUGGUUUUCCAGGCAAAUCCGGAAAAUCAAGGCUGAGGCGUGAUGACGAGGCACUACGGUGCUGAAGCAACAAAUGCCCUGCUUCCAGGAAAAGCCUCUAAGCAUCAGGUAACAUCAAAUCGUACCCCAAACCGACACAGGUGGUCAGGUAGAGAAUACCAAGGCGCUUGAGAGAACUCGGGUGAAGGAACUAGGCAAAAUGGUGCCGUAACUUCGGGAGAAGGCACGCUGAUAUGUAGGUGAAGUCCCUCGCGGAUGGAGCUGAAAUCAGUCGAAGAUACCAGCUGGCUGCAACUGUUUAUUAAAAACACAGCACUGUGCAAACACGAAAGUGGACGUAUACGGUGUGACGCCUGCCCGGUGCCGGAAGGUUAAUUGAUGGGGUUAGCGCAAGCGAAGCUCUUGAUCGAAGCCCCGGUAAACGGCGGCCGUAACUAUAACGGUCCUAAGGUAGCGAAAUUCCUUGUCGGGUAAGUUCCGACCUGCACGAAUGGCGUAAUGAUGGCCAGGCUGUCUCCACCCGAGACUCAGUGAAAUUGAACUCGCUGUGAAGAUGCAGUGUACCCGCGGCAAGACGGAAAGACCCCGUGAACCUUUACUAUAGCUUGACACUGAACAUUGAGCCUUGAUGUGUAGGAUAGGUGGGAGGCUUUGAAGUGUGGACGCCAGUCUGCAUGGAGCCGACCUUGAAAUACCACCCUUUAAUGUUUGAUGUUCUAACGUGGACCCGUAAUCCGGGUUGCGGACAGUGUCUGGUGGGUAGUUUGACUGGGGCGGUCUCCUCCUAAAGAGUAACGGAGGAGCACGAAGGUUGGCUAAUCCUGGUCGGACAUCAGGAGGUUAGUGCAAUGGCAUAAGCCAGCUUGACUGCGAGCGUGACGGCGCGAGCAGGUGCGAAAGCAGGUCAUAGUGAUCCGGUGGUUCUGAAUGGAAGGGCCAUCGCUCAACGGAUAAAAGGUACUCCGGGGAUAACAGGCUGAUACCGCCCAAGAGUUCAUAUCGACGGCGGUGUUUGGCACCUCGAUGUCGGCUCAUCACAUCCUGGGGCUGAAGUAGGUCCCAAGGGUAUGGCUGUUCGCCAUUUAAAGUGGUACGCGAGCUGGGUUUAGAACGUCGUGAGACAGUUCGGUCCCUAUCUGCCGUGGGCGCUGGAGAACUGAGGGGGGCUGCUCCUAGUACGAGAGGACCGGAGUGGACGCAUCACUGGUGUUCGGGUUGUCAUGCCAAUGGCACUGCCCGGUAGCUAAAUGCGGAAGAGAUAAGUGCUGAAAGCAUCUAAGCACGAAACUUGCCCCGAGAUGAGUUCUCCCUGACUCCUUGAGAGUCCUGAAGGAACGUUGAAGACGACGACGUUGAUAGGCCGGGUGUGUAAGCGCAGCGAUGCGUUGAGCUAACCGGUACUAAUGAACCGUGAGGCUUAACCU